AGUGAACGCUGGCGGUAGGCCUAACACAUGCAAGUCGAACGGCAGCACAGUAAGAGCUUGCUCUUACGGGUGGCGAGUGGCGGACGGGUGAGGAAUACAUCGGAAUCUACUUUUUCGUGGGGGAUAACGUAGGGAAACUUACGCUAAUACCGCAUACGACCUACGGGUGAAAGCAGGGGAUCUUCGGACCUUGCGCGAUCGAAUGAGCCGAUGUCGGAUUAGCUAGUUGGCGGGGUAAAGGCCCACCAAGGCGACGAUCCGUAGCUGGUCGGAGAGGAUGAUCAGCCACACGGGACCUGAGACACGGUCCAGACUCCUACGGGAGGCAGCAGUGGGGAAUAUUGGACAAUGGGCGCAAGCCUGAUCCAGCCAUACCGCGUAGGUGAAGAAGGCCUUCGGGUUGUAAAGCCCUUUUGUUGGGAAAGAAAAGCAGCAGGUUAAUACCCCGCUGUUCUGACGGUACCCAAAGAAUAAGCACCGGCUAACUUCGUG
rnacentral:rRNA from 1 species